GCCGGAGUGGCGGAAUUGGCAGACGCGCACGGUUCAGGGCCGUGUUGGCUUCGGCUAGUGUGGGUUCAAGUCCCACCUCCGGCA
rnacentral:tRNA from 2 species